rnacentral:rRNA from 3 species
AAAUUGAAGAGUUUGAUCAUGGCUCAGAUUGAACGCUGGCGGCAGGCCUAACACAUGCAAGUCGAGCGGA